AACAAAUACUGAAAAAAAUUUGAAAAUCACAUAGCCAGUAUUGAUUAAGUUACUGUUAGGUUAUUGACAGAAAUAGACCGUUUCUAAACUACUUGCAUUCGAAAUGAUUCAUUUUUUCAAUACUUGAGAUCAUUUGGCGUUUUUUAAAAACAUAUAAAUGCAUAAAAUCGCGUUCGAAGCACCCCGUUCGUGUUAAAAAAUUGAUGAAACAAAAUUUGCAAUAGAAUAAGAAUCGAACAUUUUUCUUCAAUAUCAAGAAACGAGUAUAAAUAUAGUAUUAUUAAAGCGUAUUAGUGUUUUACUAUGUUUCUUGAUAUAAACUUUUAUGUGCGUCGGUAGGUCAACUGAACAGAUAAAAGUACUGAAAGCUGAAAGUGAAUUUUUGCAAUCGCUGAAGACUUGAGCACACCGCACGGCACGAGUUUCAACUGCGUUUUGCAGGUUCAGGAAUUGCCUCAUUGCUGCUCACAGUCGUCGGUUGCGGUCACAUUUAGUCGUAGAAGCGCUUGUCGUAAAACAUUUCUCCGAACCCGGACAUGCAAAUGAGACAUAGCAGAUGACACGCAAUAUGAGCAGAGUUCAAAAUCGUACUUCACAAGAGAUUGUUUCAAAUGUUCUCGAAGUCUCUAGUAAAGUCUGUCUGGUUUUUAUUUAACCUCCACAGAGCAAAGUAUUACUCAGGGCAAACUUAGUUCCUGAUUCAAAAACAAAGAAACCCAACGUGGAGUAACUUUUAUGUGAAACGUUUGGAUCAUUUUUACAAAUCCUGCGCCAAAAAACGAACCCGCCACCGCUCUGACUAAAAAAAGCAAUUAUCCAGUUAGGGUUUGGCUUGGGGUUAGGAAUGCUGAUUACUCCGGAAAUUAAAACUUUUAAAUCAUUUAUAACCCUAACUUUACGAAUGAUUUGCUAAUUUGUUCUUUUAAAACUUAGCGGGGUGUUUGUCUCAAAUCUCGCAUUUUCCCAUUAUUGUCAGGGUCUUGGUAUAAAAGAAUCGAAUAAUUAUGUGCUAAAUAAUGAUUUUCAUUGCACUAGUUCGUUAAGUGUAAUUGUUUGAACUUGUUAUUUAGACACAGUUAUGUUGAACGACAGCUCUCCUAUAAGGACUCAGUUCAGUUCUGGAUAUAAUGACGCAUUACGUUACGCAAUGGACGAAAAUCGUCUGACGCAGUGUCCCAUAACAGUAUUUCGACAGUUUUCGAUUAAUCACUGUAAUUAGCAAAUUGAUAGCAAUCAGCUCGGAUGCAUUGUCACUGUCUAGCUUAAUGUUCAUUGUUAGUGUCUUCGGAGACGUUUCUGAUGUUUAGUAUUGGUUUUAGUAUUACUAAUUUUGCAGUUAGAAAUACCAAUUUGGAUUGAAGUCAGAUUCGGGGUUAAAUGCGAAGUGCCCGAUUGUAAUUAAUAUAUAGUUUUUGACUGCAGGUUGGGGCUGUAUUAUAGGUAUAUCAGGUAAAUACCAGCGGCUUUUAGAUUUUAGUAAUGCAAGAUACAUUGAGUUCACUUUGGAUAAAACUUUAUUGGAUAGUGUCACCUGGGGAUCUAAAACAUGGGGUUUCGUUCGAGAUGUCGACGUUCCUGAUUUUGUUUCAAGUACCAUCGUAUGAAGUGUUAUGAAAGAAUAAAACCGAUUUUAAGUUGGAUUCAAUUGCGGCAAAACUUUGAGGCAAAGAAAG